GUUGGAAAUCACAUGUAAUGAUCGACUUGGUAAAAAAGUUAGAGUCAAGUGCAAUGAUGAUGACACAAUUGGAGACUUGAAAAAGUUGAUAGCUGCACAGACUGGCACAAGAGCAGAUAAAAUUGUCCUCAAAAAAUGCCAUGUAAACAUAAUGUAUGAACAUAUCCUUCCUGGAACUAAUUUCCAAGCAUUUAUAAUUUAUUAAAACAGUAUUCUAGUUGAAUGACUUAAGGUACACAAUAUUUAAAGAUCAUGUGACACUUGCUGAUUAUGAAAUACAUGAUGGAAUGAAUCUGGAGCUAUACUACCAGUGACAGUCUGCAUCUUUUUUUUUUUUUGGUUGGAAUUUGAUUUUUCUUUUUAUUUCAUGUUCUCAUCACCUUACCAUCAUUUGUCAUUCAGUACUUUUCAUGAUGUUUUAAUUAUUCUUUUUUUUUUUUUUUGGUCAAAUUUAUUCUUUUGCUUUAGUUUUUUUCUUAAUUUUGUACUCCAUAUUCAUUUUUAACAUUCAGUAUCUCAUGAUGUAUUUAUUAAAUAAAAUAACAAACAUGAGAUUUGUCAAUAAGAUUUGUCAAUGUUUAUAUUGCAAUGUAUAAUAUUAAUCUUUGUGAAUAAAGAAAUAACUUUAAAAACAAGCAUUUACUUAAAUAAAGUUUUUUUUAAUUAA